rnacentral:lncRNA from 1 species
CAGUCUUUAAGAAUGGAGACGGUGUCUUAUUUAUUGUGACGUUUCCAGUGCUCAGUUAGGGUCUGGCACGUGGUCAGAUCCUAGGAUGAGAAGCUUAGGAGUGAUAGCUGAAGCCAGGGAGGCAUGUGAAGGUCAUCAUGAAGACAAAUAACAGAUGACAAGCAAGGGGCUCAGCCCCAGGGGGACGUCUGCGAUAAGCCACAAAAAAUGAAACUCCUAGAGUGACGGGUGCUAAGCGAGCACCAUAUACUGGUGUCCCGAGUAUGGUGUUUCUACAAGUCCAGGCUGACAGCCGUGAGUAAGCUGGUGCAUAUUAACCUUAAAUGGGAAAAGAGUCAUUCCAAGCACCUAAGAAGUGAAGGAAGCAAUGAGUCCUACAUAUGAAUGGGUGGAAUGGAGCUGGUCCACUGAGUGUGCACAGACCAUCCCCUUUGGGCCAGCAGGCACUGCCAGCAGCUGUUUCUGUUUCAGUCUUCGGCUUGCUCCCUCCCACUCCCAGCCUUCCCGCUCUGCCAGAGCAGCUGGAGGUCCUCCGGGUGCCUUCAUGAAGCACCCUUCCCGGGGACGGAGGAGCCGUCAUGAAGCACCCUUCCCGGGGACGGAGAAGCCAUCAUGAAGCACCCUUCCCGGGGACGGAGGACCUGUCAUGAAGUACCCUUCCCGGGGACGGAGGAGCUGUCAUGAAACAUCCUUCCUGGGGAAGAAGUUGCCUUCAUGAAGCAUCCUUCCCAGGGAUGGAGGAUUCUGCUUCCCCUGUUUGCUCUCAGUGGUCCCACUGACCUUGGCCUCAUCAUCCCCCAGCUCAUUACUUCCCAGAAAGCAGAGGCACUGACUGGGGCUGUAGAAGACUUUCUACGGACAGGGGGCUCCAGGCCAGGCACAGAGAUCGAAGAUCUUCUCCUCCAGGGGCUCUUCCUCACCCAGGCAUUGAUCCCAGGAAUCCUGCAUUGUAGGCAGAUUCUUUACCGUCGGAUUUACCGUUGGAGCACGGAGGAAGCCCAAGAAGGGGCAGACAGGUAGAAAUGGGGUGGACUCUUUAUAUGAAAACCUUGCAACCUUGGUUUUUUUAAGCCACUGUUUAGUUGGUUUUCCUGUUACUUUCAAUAUAGUGCAAAUGUAAGUGAUAUUACUUUAAGUGUGAAAUUGUGAUAAAUAUUUGUUUCUGUCCAUAGGAGAAGUGAUAAACUCUCCAGCAUAAUAGGUGGUAUUUAAGCAAAGGCCAACGGUGACACUAAGGCGAUUCCUGAAG